rnacentral:rRNA from 1 species
AACAAACGCUGGCGGCGUGCCUAAUACAUGCAAGUCGAACGGGGUAGCAAUACCUAGUGGCGCACGGGUGAGUAACGCGUGGAUAAUCUGCCUUAGAGUGGGUGAUAACUAGUCGAAAGAUUAGCCAAUACCGCAUAAGACCACAAGAACUGCGGUUCAAGGGGUAAAAGGUUUUUCGCUAUAAUAUGAGUCCGUGUAAGAGUAGCUAGUUGGGGAUGUAAUGGCUCACCAAGGCGACGAUCUUUAACUGGUCUGAGAGGAUGAUCAGUCACACUGGAACUGAGACACGGUCCAGACUCCUACGGGAGGCAGCAGUAGGGAAUAUUGCACAAUGGAGGAAACUCUGAUGCAGCGACGCCGCGUGAGUGAUGAAGGCCUUCGGGUCGUAAAGCUCUGUCGCAGGGGAAUAACACAAUGAAUGUACCCUGUAAGAAAGGAUCGGCUAACUUCGUGCCAGCAGCCGCGGUAACAC